rnacentral:hammerhead_ribozyme from 1 species
GCACUGCUGACGAGUCCCAAACAGGACGAAAUCGCUGCCCAGUGC